rnacentral:rRNA from 1 species
CCUACGGGGGGCAGCAGUGGGGAAUAUUGCGCAAUGGACGAAAGUCUGACGCAGCGACGCCGCGUGAGGGAUGAAGGUUUUCGGAUUGUAAAGCUCUUUCGGAUGUGACGAUGAUGACGGUAGCAUCUAAAGAAGCCCCGGCUAACUUCGUGCCAGCAGCCGCGGUAAUACGAAGGAUGCGAGCGUUAUCCGGAUUUAUUGGGUUUAAAGGGUGCGUAGGCGGAAUGCCAAGUCAGCGGUAAAAUCGCGGGGCUCAACCUCGCUCCGCCGUUGAAACUGGCGUUCUUGAGUGGGCGAGAAGUAUG